GCUGAGUACAGCAAUACCCCCGUAUGUACCUUUGCCAGGUAUAUGUGGAUGUUGAAGGGGCGCAUUUGAGACGCAGCCAUUCAGUUUUUUUUCUAACUUUGAAGUUUUACGCUGUGUCCAUGUUCCAAUUUGGAAUAGUUUAGACGGUUGGUUAUUGAAACUUCCCCACAAACACAUACUAUUUAUUAAAGAAUACACCCUGGGGUAAUUCAAAA